AUCACUCCUCAGCCUUUUGGCUAAGAUCAAGUGUAAUAUCUGUUCUAAUCUGUUUAAUAUCUGAUACGUCUUCUAUCAGAGGACAGUAUAUUAAAUGGAUUUUUAGAACGGGGAAAUAGAAUAGGAGCUUUCUCAGUCCACUCCACACAUCAACCUGGUGUUGAAGUACCUCCAGCAAGAGUGCACCCCUU
rnacentral:snRNA from 1 species